UGCUGAGCCCACAGAGUAGCUGGGAUUACAGAUGCGUGCCACCUCACCCAGUUACAUCUUCCUGAGGAUAGAGCCUACAUAGAAGUUCAGCAAAUAUCUGGUCUUUUCCACACCUGGGAAGAUGUGGGUAUAGGCCACUAUGUGUUUUCCUUUCAAAAUGAAGUGUCUUGGUGGGGAGGAAAGAGAUAAGGCAGCCAGCCUGUGACCCACAUCUUUCCUGAUUCCUGGGGGAAUGCUUCCAGAAAAGAAAUCAGAUAAUGAACAGUUCACUGCAUAAUAUAUAGCAGCUGCAACCUGGCUCACUCUUUUGAAUGAGUAAUCAGAGGUAAUGCAAAUUAACACCUUCACCUUGGAAAGAAAUAACUUUAGAAUUCAUCCAGUUUGGUAAACAGAAGAAGCAAUCUUAAUCAUAGGGUUUUAAUGAUAAAGGAUUCAGAGAAAAAACAAGGCAUCUCCCUCGUGUUUUUUCAGUAAAAAAAUACAUUCUAAUUAUCUUCGAUAUCUACCAAAAGGGAACAAUUUAAGUUAACUUGAUCCUAUAUUUAAACAAAAUUGAAUAAAAAAUAAUAUGCAAAAACAAU
rnacentral:lncRNA from 1 species